rnacentral:rRNA from 1 species
UACGGAGAUGGCAAGCGUUGUUCGGAAUCACUGGGCGUAAAGCGCGCGGUAGGCGGUCAGGUAAGUUGGGUGUGGAAUCGUUCGGCUCAACCGGACAGAGCCAUUCAAUACUGCCCGACUAGAGCACGGUAGGGGGGAGUGGAACUCCUGGUGGAGUGGUGAAAUGCGUAGAUAUCAGGAGGAACGCCGGCGGCGAAGGCGACUCCCUGGGCCGUUGCUGACGCUGAGGUGCGAAAGCUAGGGGAGCGAACGGGAUUAGAUACCCUCGUA